AGAGAGAGAGAGAGAGACCAAUGAGUGGGGAAAUGGAAAGUUUGCUAUCGUCCAACGGGAUUAUUGGGCCUUGACGGCUGCGGGCGGUCAUUCGUCUCUCGUAGGCUUGCCAGCCCGGAAACCGUCCUUAAUGGGCCGAAACAUGGGGCCCAUUUGUGAAAUGAAAAGCCGUGGAGACCGACCUUUCCCGCCCGUCGAACUUCGCCGACUUCGAUGCGGGUCCACACUCACUGAGAAACGAAAGCUCUC
rnacentral:lncRNA from 1 species